GCAGGCAGGCAGGCGGUCACCAUGUUGAAACUAAUAUUUGAAUUCUCGAGAUGUGACUGGUUAUCUAACUGGAUUCCGGAAGAUCGCACCCGGGGAUCAUUGGCGAAAAAGUCGAAUAGAAAUUGCUGUUGUAGGAGGGACAUUCUUUAUUACUGGUUGUUUCGUCUUGAUCGAAACUUUUUAGCAAGCGAAUGGCGCAGGCGAACUUAUUAAAAGGAUCGUCGUUCUAAUAGAUUUUGGCGUUGGCCCAGCCAGACCACUAACUUUCCUCAUUUGUUCCCAUUCCAAGAUAAAAAAGAGAGGGCUAUAAACCAAUGCCAAAGUAUAUAUCCGUGAGACCGUGACAGUACACUUAUUCUAUUACCGCCACGCGACGUUGACACGGCUAAAUCUCGAGGAAAAUUUAUGAAGUUGGCCCGAAAAACUGAUUGGAAUGGGGGGCGACUUUCUUUUCUGCAGCGAACAAAAAAGGGGGAAAUCAAUACAAAAGAAUACCCCAUCUUUUUAUUACUCGCGCAAAGCUUUUGUUUCACGUUCAAAAAAAUCUCAUAUUCCUCUGUUUUUCAAUUAUCUUGCGUCACACAAAUAAAAGGCCCAGCCGUGACGAAAUUAUUCCAAACAUUGGCAACGUCAAACGCCAUUCCCGGUUUUCGUCUGUUUGAUGUCGAGUCGCAAAAGUUGAAAGUGCUCGUAAGUCAUCACUUUCGGCGGGCUGGAAUAUCCGAGAAUACAAGACGCGCAAUCGGCAUAUCAUUUGAAUAUCAUCACGAAAAUAUUGCCUGCUCAGAUAUACACGCCCUUGCGUCGAUAUUUGAAAGUUUUCUUCAUGGCUAAACGAAACGAUUUCAUCAUGGGGAAAAUGUUUAUCGCCCAACGUGUCUUUGGAAAAGUCAUCAAUGUGAAGAAGCCACAAAGCCAUUGCAGCCUUUUUGUAGGUCUUCUUAUUUCGUGGCUCAGCAGUAACAUUUGAAAACCGGAAGAAAAGAAGAAGAAAGAAAAAAGAGCACACCAAAAGCUUAUUAACAGAUGUCGAUUAAUAAGAAAAGAAGAAAAAAAGGACUCACGCGCCAGCAUUAAGGAUCCAGUAGGUGGGAUCAUCCGAUAGCCAAGGAUUAGACGGCUGGGGCGUCUGAAGAAACGGAUCGUAUUCGCUGUAGGUGGCGCAGUGUUGUUGCAGCGUCUCGGCCGCCACAGACACCUUGAUCCGCGCUCUAACCAGCUGGCCCCUCACAAACUCCACCUGAAACCACAGGAGACGGUCACAGCAAAUUCACCAUUGUUGUUUACGGGGCUGACGAACCGAACGACCUGUCACCACCCACACGAAACCGUUGAAGAAAGAGAGGACGAGCCAAAGAGAAGAGAAUUCUGGAGACUACUAGAGAGAGUAGUAUUGAUUUUUCGUGCCCUGCUGCUGCUGCUGUAUGUGUCGGAGAAAAUAGAUGGAAGACCGGCGAAAUAGUACGACGCUAUAGAAAAAAAGAAAGAUGUCCUCUUCUUCUACCUUUGCAAAAAAGGAAAGGGGGCCUCGUUAAGCUAAUUUAAGCAAGGGAUUUUUACAAGAUGAGGCCAAAGCCGUCGCCGUCGUUUCAGUCCAACCCAUGUUUCCAGCGGUAUCAUCAGCGCAGCGGGUUGGCAUGGUGACCGUGCACCGAAUAUAUCCUAUAUAUAUAUUCUCAGGGGCAUGAUUACAUCCAGCAGCAGCAGCAGCAGCCAUCAUCUUCCCUCUCGCUCUCCCUUUCGCUUGUCAUUACAUAACUUGAUACAACAUUCGCCCAGGCUCCCCGCACAAAAAGAGUUUUGAUCUCUUCGAUGUUCUUCCACUUUCGGAUAAAAUUGGACGAUGCGGUUGUGCAAGAAGCUCCGGCCGAGUCGUCACGCUGAUUCGAAGAUGGCGCCAAUGAAAUCCACGACGAGUUGGUGGGGAAAGGCGGCUGUUCCAGGCAAUUGAGGAAACUGGGCGGCGGCCUGUACGCCCUCCAAUAGGCCCGCUCUUGGCUAUCCGUUACGAUCUUGUCGCCUUUCUUCCGGUCUUUGGCCAGCCUCACCUUGACGGAACAAAUGGAGAAAAUGUACAACAACCAACAACGGCGAGUGAGAGACCCCACAAGCUCUUUUACUUAUCUUUCCCUCCGCAACCAGUAACUUGGAACUUCCGGCCGGAUGGCAAUAAUCAAGGACGCACAGAUGUUGUCAAGUAAAAAGUCGCAACAACAGCCGUUGAAGAUUUUUUUUAAGAAAGUCCCGCUGUCCACGUGGUAAACCCGCCCAAAUAAAAAGAAUGUUUGAAAUAAGAAAAAAAAGGUGAUAUUAUUUCUGUACGCUCCUGCCCCGCUCCCGACUCCCGAAAGAAGAAAAAAGAUGGGCGAGGCGAGAUGGGAGUUAUUCUGGUCCCCCCACCCAUUCAUCGGCAAACCUUCGCAUCUAUAUACUCGCACGCCGGGGGGCGCUGGAUUGCAAAACGCCAUUCCGUUCCUUUUUAUUUGCUUUUUGCGUUUGGGAUGAAGGAAGAAAAAGUGACGCAAGCGCGUGCCUCCGCUAUCGACGAUUCAGGAACACCACAAACUACUUUUACUACUACAUGGUGGAGUCAGGAUGGAUCGAAUGGGAGGCCUGCCCCGUUCCCCCCUGGAAAUUUCCAUUAAUUUGAAAAUGAUUUUCUUGAUGGAUCUGCCGCUUCUGCUCAUACCAGUGGAUGUGCAUCUUACACAGAUCCCGGGAGCUGCUGCUGCUCUUUAAGAGAGUCGUGAGGUGGAGGAUGGGUGGGACUGACAAGAAGAAUGGACGAUUAAUAUUCACGAGAAUGAAUGCGCAACAUCCGCCUUCCCCCCACCACCCCACAUGACAUGGCGAGGAGGAGGACGGUCGGUCGGUCGGUCGGGAAAUCCCAGGAGGGACGGCCCAACUGUGCGGCAAAGCGGAGGCAAAGUCGUACGUUAUUUAUUAGGCAAAUGAAGGGCCGUCCGACGGUCCGGCAGCGGCAAUCAUACUCGCAGGUGAUGAGGAUCUCGGUCGACGACGACAACAGUGGUGGCAGACGACGGGAUCUGGCGGCCUGAUGGACGGCCUGGCUCCUGCGAGCUGGUGGCGGCGGCGGCGGCGGCGGCGACGGCCCAGCAUUUGGGCAUGUUGAUGUUUUUACACCUUCUUCAGAAAAAUGUGGAGUGGAAUGCUGGACGAGAUGACGUUGGAGAGUCCUCGACCACCACAACAACAACCGAAUCGACGACGCACUUUUCUUCUCCCACCAAAAAUAUUCGGUCCCGCUCAGAAUAAGCGACAAGUUAUUCGACACGACAAUCCUCAACAAUUGUCAAUUCUUUUGAUCGUUCGUUUCACUGGAAAAGGAGAACCCGAACAAAAACGUUUCCGAUCGGAAAUGGUCAACAGAGAGAGAGAGAGAAAAAAAAAGGAAAUUCUUAACGCAAUCGAAACCGGGCGGACACACACAAAAAAAGGACGACGACGAAUCGAAUCAAAGGGAGAGAAAUGAAAACGGAUCCGAGAGGUACGAAGAAGAGCUAAAUAUUCUUUUCGCACGGGAUUUCUUCUUUUGGGGUUGGCCUUGUCACAGCUCCGAAAAUAACAGAUGGACAAGGAUGAAUGUAAUCAGAGGAAAUGAAGGAAGAAGAUAAAAGAAGAUAAAAGAUGGCCGAAAAAAUCAAAGAA
rnacentral:lncRNA from 1 species